UACGUAGGGUGCGAGCGUUAAUCGGAAUUACUGGGCGUAAAGCGUGCGCAGGCGGUGAUGUAAGACGGGUGUGAAAUCCCCGGGCUUAACCUGGGAACUGCAUUUGUGACUGCAUCGCUGGAGUGCGGCAGAGGGGGAUGGAAUUCCGCGUGUAGCAGUGAAAUGCGUAGAUAUGCGGAGGAACACCGAUGGCGAAGGCAAUCCCCUGGGCCUGCACUGACGCUCAUGCACGAAAGCGUGGGGAGCAAACAGG
rnacentral:rRNA from 1 species